GAGAUUUCGAAAUCGAAGUGCAACAAUUACAGCGGCAAUCCCAUUGGUUCGUCAUUUUUUCAUAUAUUUUUGUGUGUGUGAUACACUCACACUCGACAUGAACUAGACACAAGCCACAUUCAGUCCGUAAUGGAUGCCUAUCGACAAUAGUUGUAAUCAAAGUUACAAAUAAACCGUAAUUUAUGCCUAUGAGAGGUAGUUGCAUCAAGUAACUCGUAAUAUUGAAUUAAAUCUUAGAAAAACGCGGACCGAGAACACAUAGAAUAAGGAUGUUCCCCAAAUUGUGAGGAGAUAUCUUUGACACCGACAAUAUGCAAUCGGAUAAUAAAUAUUCAAUGCAUCAACACCGUUCAGUUCAUCCGUCAAUUUCGAAUGACUUACCGUCAACGUCCUCAUCAAAUGAGCAACAGGAUGACCAACCACUGGAUCCUCUAGAUGAAGCAACCGCUAUUCGACAUUUAUCGACCAUUGACAAAUUUAUACGAAAGGUUAAGGGACAAUCGAUGCUGGAUCGUUUGCCGGCUAACGGUCCCUUGAACGAACGUGCAGCUCAAACAAAUUUAACCAGACCCGAUCCAUUGUACCAGACAUACGAAGAAUUUCUCAUUAAAAAUUUUGACGCGAUAAAACAUCUGAAAUCGAGUAGCUCCAUCGACUAUCAGCAGAUCGCCCAGCUUCGAUAGCUCGAAAUCGUCUGGUAGCCAUGAAGAAGGCCGAACUGCUAUAUUAGAACGCUAUUUCGAUGAGAUGAAGCGUGACAUUCCCGCUAAAUGGGAAAUCACAAAUGAUGAAUUGUCUGGAUUGAGAUAUAGGUCAAGUAGUGGAAUAAAAAGAUAGAGUGCAAGCUGAGAGCUGUAAAAAAUACGAAGCUAAUGGUACGGAUGCCAUUCAGUGUCGGUGUAUUUACUCAAUGUUCAAAAUAUUUUCAAUUGCCUGUAAGAGGCUGUACAGAAAAUUUGUAGAAUUAAUUUCAAACCGAAGCUUUGGUUAGAUUUGUAAUUUUAUUUGUUUUUAUGGAUCAUUGAAUACACCAAUUAAACAACCAGAAA